AGUGAACGCUGGCGGCGUGCCUAACACAUGCAAGUCGAGCGAAGUAUUUGCUGUAGCAAUACAGUAAAUGCUUAGCGGCAGACGGGUGAGUAACACGUAGAUAACUUACCUCUUAGCGGGGGGAUAGCCCGCCGAAAGGCGGGGUAAUACCGCGUAAGAUCCUUCUGGAGCAUUCCGGGAGGAUGAAACAUCCGCAAGGA
rnacentral:rRNA from 1 species